rnacentral:rRNA from 1 species
UACGGAGGGGCUAGCGUUGUUCGGAAUUACUGGGCGUAAAGCGUGCGCAGGCGGUUGUGCAAGACAGAUGUGAAAUCCCCGGGCUCAACCUGGGAACUGCAUUUGUGACUGCAUCGCUGGAGUACGGCAGAGGGGGAUGGAAUUCCGCGUGUAGCAGUGAAAUGCGUAGAUAUGCGGAGGAACACCGAUGGCGAAGGCAAUCCCCUGGACCUGUACUGACGCUCAUGCACGAAAGCGUGGGGAGCAAACAGG